rnacentral:misc_RNA from 1 species
GCUCGCUGGGGGCCGGGAUCUGGAAAGAUCUGAGCGGCAAUCCGGAGCCAUUCGAAGACGGCACCCGAGCAGGGGCCGGCGAGCUUGGGUUCCGGCCGAGAAGGAGGCGGUCGAGGCCGAUCGGACUCGCAGAUGUGGCGGAGUAGAGGAAAUUGGGGAGGAGGGAGCGGCGGGUGUCGGCAGAGAGAUCCAUCGGUUAGGGUUAGGGUUAGGGUUUGACAUCUG